UGAUAUUGGGUUAGGGUUAGUCAUGAUGUUGGGUUAGGGUUUCCCAGUCAAUGUCAUGAUAUCGGGUUAGGUUUAGGCUUAGUCAUGAUAUUGGGUUAGGGUUAGGCUUAGUCAUGAUAUUGGGUUAGGGUUAGUCAUGAUAUUGGGUUAGGGUUCCCCAUUCAUUAUGAUGAUAUUAGGUUAGGGCUGGUCUUGAUAUUGAAUGAGAAAGAUAAAAAAAUAAACUACUACCCUUAUUAGUAACUCAGUGUUACUAUUAUGAAACCAUUAUGAUUCUGUCCUAGAAGCCCCAUGGAGUCUCAUUAUAGACAUAAAACGAUUACACACAGUAAUGAUUUAAACACAUAAACACAGGAACAUAUUCAUUGAAAGACAGUUAGGCAACACCAUUCAUGAUUGCCAUGUCUCUGUCGAUUAGCAAGCACGGUAAACAGAAAAGCUGCACUUGUCACGAGUCAGCCCUUUCAUUCAAACCGAACAAAACUAAUGGUUCUGUCUUUUCUCCCUUCGUGUCAUUUUUGUACAUCGGUUGCCCAACGUUUACUUCUACUUCUAGUUUAUCCUCCAUUUUGAAGGCAUUUUGGAAAAUCAAAUGCUCAAGACCGUAAUCCACCUUGUUCGUGUUUAUUAAACCCUAUAUUGUAUUUCACAUCAGUCCCAGCCCAUGAUAUGUUAUGGAUGUAGUCACAAUGCAGGCUUGAAUGAAUUAGCCCCAGUACAUAUUAACACCAGGGGGCAUUUCACUAGGCUGUGUGUUUCUACAGUCUGGCCUAGAAAGAAAUUAGCCCUAGCCUUUACCUCCUCCCAUUCUGUUUGUUUGUACUUACCACCAUUAGUUGUACUGUUGUUUUUGGUCUCUAAAUAUAUUCACUUUAAGUCAUUUGUUAACACCAAGCCAUGCUAUCCCAUUUAGACCAGCCAGAUCUCGUGACAAUGGCUCAAUUAAUAGAA
ensembl:lncRNA